GAUGCUGUGAUGAGGUUAAACACUAAUGUGUUUGAAGGGCAGUGGACGGGUGCCAUUUUCGGACUCGCCGUGAGCCCAUCUAAUUAACGACUUCUCCUUCCACUGAGCCCC